UUCUAAAACAUUCCCAUCAGAUUUUACAGAUUCAAAACCCUUUUAUACCCUCACUAGCUUUCCUAAAUUACCCUACCCUUGAAUUUUGACCCCAUUUAGUUCUUUGAACCUUAGUUUACUCACAAUUAACCCUGGUUAGUUUUUUUACCCUAAUUUAAGCAUAAUUAACCUUGGUCAAUCAAACUUGAGUCAAACUCAUAUUAGCAGACUCAUGAAGAUCAGAAUUAACCAAAAAUUAACAGACUUCUAUACA
rnacentral:lncRNA from 1 species